CACACAUACACGCACACACACACGCACACAAACACUAUUCUAAUUAAUGAUUUAAUUGCCCUCUGGAGGUGACAUUUUACUGAGAAGCAGUUUGGAAAACCAACGAUGUGUACUCGCCGGUAAAGCGCCUGCGACAAGAUCCCAUUUCAGAUGUACACUUCACAGGUCUGUGGGGAAACCGCGAAGAAAAUAAAACGCAUAGACCUGGAGAAAGCCGGCUAUUAAACAUAAAACUAUAUUAGCAUGAGGCAUAUUCUCUGAACAGGCCUCACCUUCAGCCAGAGCCGGAAACUCUACAUCCCCGACACGUUGGCUGCGGGGAAUGAUCACCAACAUCAGGAGGUGCUGAUAGCGCACAGGAGAUAACUUGUUGGAAGACACAAACAACAGGCGAGUUCAUCAGGACUGUUUCUCCACGUAAAUAAAACCCACUCCUGCUCUGCCGAGGAGCCCCUGGAGGCGGUCGCGGGCCCCGGAGAGCCGGCACGGCGCCCGUCGGAGGGGACACGGUCGAGGGGUUCUCUUCGAGGGAACUUUUAAUUUGAAAGACCUCCGUCCCCGUCAGGGUCGAUUUGGUAGGAGCGGUAAACGGCCACUAGAGGGAGACAGAAACCUCCUUCUGAGAGCUCAACCUUCAAACCCUCCCUCUAAUGACAAAUAUCCUCGGGUCUUUAUAUGUUUUGAACGAGUCAACAUCUCUCCCCGUCUGAUGCAACGCUUCCAGUGCGUGUCUCGUGUCGGGACGUAGAUCUGUGUCAGGUAGAAGCUGCACACACACACACGUUAUGCUGCUCGUCAGUCGUCGUUUGAGCUGAAGACCCGCUUGGCGUGCCGCCAGC
ensembl:lncRNA